GCGGGUGUAGUUCAAUGGUAGAACAUCAGCUUCCCAAGCUGAGAACGCGGGUCCGAUUCCCGUCACCCGCU
rnacentral:tRNA from 1 species